CAGUAGCCGCGGGAAUACGUAGGUCCCGAGCGUUGUCCGGAUUUAUUGGGCGUAAAGCGAGCGCAGGCGGUUAGAUAAGUCUGAAGUUAAAGGCUGUGGCUUAACCAUAGUACGCUUUGGAAACUGUUUAACUUGAGUGCAGAAGGGGAGAGUGGAAUUCCAUGUGUAGCGGUGGAAUGCGUAGAUAUAUGGAGGAACACCGGUGGCGAAAGCGGCUCUCUGGUCUGUAACUGACGCUGAGGCUCGAAAGCGUGGGGAGCAAACAGGAUUAGAUACCCCGGUAGUCCCUGUCUCUUAUACA
rnacentral:rRNA from 1 species